rnacentral:rRNA from 3 species
ACUUAAAUUGAAGAGUUUGAUCAUGGCUCAGAUUGAACGCUGGCGGCAGGCCUAACACAUGCAAGUCGAGCGGCAGC